rnacentral:rRNA from 1 species
GAUGAACGUUAGCGGCAGGCUUAAUACAUGCAAGUCGUGGGGCAGCAUGAAGUAGCAAUACUUUGAUGGCGACCGGCAAACGGGUGCGGAACACGUACACAACCUUCCUUUUAGUGGGGAAUAGCCCAGAGAAAUUUGGAUUAAUACCCCGUAACAUAGCGAUGUGGCAUCACAUUGCUAUUAUAGCUUCGGCGCUAGAUGAUGGGUGUGCGUAUGAUUAGAUAGUUGGCGAGAUAACGGCUCACCAAGUCUACGAUCAUUAGCUGAUGUGAGAGCAUGAUCAGCCACACGGGCACUGAGACACGGGCCCGACUCCUACGGGAGGCAGCAGUAAGGAAUAUUGGUCAAUGGACGAAAGUCUGAACCAGCCAUGCCGCGUGAAGGAUUAAGGUCCUCUGGAUUGUAAACUUCUUUUAUACAGAACGAAAAGGUUUCUAUUAAUACUAGAGGCUCAUGACGGUACUGUAAGAAUAAGCACCGGCUAACUACGUG